UACGGGGGGGGCAAGCGUUGGUUCGGAAUUACUGGGCGUAAAGGGUUUGUAGGGUGGCCCGACUAAGUCACACGUGAAAUCCCUCAGCGUUAACUAGGGGCAAACUGGCGUGUGAGACUGGCAGGCUCGAGGGCGAGGAGGAGGAACGCGGAAUUCCAGGUGUAGCGGUGAAAUGACGUAGAUAUCUGGAGGAACACCGGUGGCGAAGGCGGCGUUCUGGACUGUCUCUGACACUGAAGAACGAAAGCCAGGGGAGCGAAACGGG
rnacentral:rRNA from 1 species